CUCACUUGGCCUUUCACUGGUGAUUGCAGGCAGAGAGGGAGCAAGGGAUCUAGUGUCUCAUCCUCUUGAUAAGGUCACUAAUCUCAUUAUGAGGGCCCCACCCUCAUGCCCUCAUCUAACCCUAAUCACAUCCCAAAGGCCCCACCUCCUAAUACCAGCACAGUGGGGAUUAGGGCUUCCACAUAUGGAUUCUGGGGGCUACAAACAUUCAGCCCCAUGGCACAGGCCACAGAGAAGCAAGGAUAAUUGAGGACCACGAGGUCCUCUGGGACUCACGGUUCAUAGAGAGACAGAUAAAGAAGCAAGUACAGUGUUUGGAAAACAAACAAAAACCUACAAAGAGUUCUAGAGGAUUGUAGAGGGAAUGACCCUUUUCAUAAGCAAAGAUCAAGGGGCUGGAAGGAUGUGUGACAUUUAGGAAACGGUGCCCAGUCUGACUAUAAUGGUGGUGGCUGCUGCGCCUUCGGCCCCCUUUGCCUAUGCCAUUGCACAGUUGCUGCUCCGAUUAUGAUUGUCACGCCUGGCCUCACUAACCAGUUGUCUUGGGACAUGGUUCUGCCCGGCGAAUGCCGCCUCUACAACCUGUGCUUUUUCCAAGGUCUUCUUGAGGAGCCAAAACAAGCUCCCCAGAGACAAGAAAAGAGCAUACACUGAGGACCGCCCGCUCUCUCCUGGUGACAUAUCAGACUGGUGUCUGAGGAGGGUGCACUCUCCUCUGAAAACUGGAGCUGCUGGGUGAAGACAGGGUGAUUACCCACGUCUGACUUUCCUUUUUAUAUCUGGGGUGCCAGGGCUUAACGAUCCCUCCCCCUACCCCCAUUUCUCCAGGAAGCCUUGAAAUCCUUUGCCAAGCAGGGCACCAGAGUUCCUGGGGCUCGUCUGCAAAUUAGGUCCUCACCAGCAUCCUCCUUUCAUUGUGGGACCUUCUCAUUUCUGCGGCAUUUUCCAUCACACCAAAACCUAAGACUAAGUACCCUCACCAUCCUAAUGUACCUAAUGAUUGUCUACACCUCCUGAAGUUUCCUGUCACCUUCUCUUCAAGUAGCUUUGCCAUUAACUGGGUCCCUUUAAGCAGGUUGCUGAAUCCCAGUUUUCACUUCUAUAGCAAGAAGGACUAGAAUCAGAUAAUUUCUAAGAUCCCUACCAGGUAAAGAGGAGAAUACCAGCAUCCACUCAGACUUUUCCUACACAUAUUGGCUCCUGUAGAAAGUAAAUUGAAAGGAAACGGGAAGGAGAGACGGCACGUAUUGAAUUUCUCAUUAGCCCCACUGCCUGGUUCUCAUUAGUGAGCCUUCCGGGUUACAGGCACAAGGGCCAGGACUUAUUUUCAUGGCUGAAUAGCACAUGUGAAAUGUAGGCGAUUUCUAAUCCAUAUUAUAUGAGCUCCACACUUUGCUAUCUUAUAAAGUGAGGAACGGGGUACUAUAGCCCCCUUUUGUGGCUUUCCCUCCAUAACAAACCGUGGUCUAGACAGGAUCUGGCUAGAAAUUCCCUUAUUACCACCCCGGCCAGACUCCAUUUAUCAUCACCUUGAACGUAAUGCUCGCGCAAAACCUCCAGGCCUCUCCCGUUCACAUAACGAAUCGAGGGAGGCAGAGCUCUUACGGCGCUCCAGCCAGUGUCUGCCUGCUUCUGGAAAUACCUCAUCUUCCAGAAAAGCAUUCAUUUGUCAACAGAGGGAUAAUGCUAAAACCUUAAAGACAAAUCGGCCAGAAGGCAGGGAUGGGAGAAGCAGGCAGGGUACAGCCCGGGAGAGACGGCAGCUUUGCCUCGGUGCAGUUAUUUGAUUUGUUAGCCUUGUGCCAGCCUCAGUCUUCUCCAAGAAGAGGUUUAAAUCUCUUCUUGAAACGGUUUGAGCGUACACUCCCCAAACAGAGAGUCCAGAAGUAUCCCUCCGGCGCUGCAGGGAUGACCAAGUUAAUUUUGUCUGUAACCGUGAGAGGCUUUUCAAUGAGGGGCCAAAUAACUGCACAGAUUCUGGGUGUUGGGUGAAGCCUGUCCCCAAACUUGGGCGAAGCUGUUGGAGCUGGGCGUGCAGACUCGAGCAGGACAAACCGUCCCACCUGGUGAGAUGACAUCAGGAGUCCUUAGGAAUAGGGAUGGAUUUCUGCACAUUCCAUUGGUGCUGAUUAUCACAGGAGAUAUGAAAGUGGCGAUCAAAGCUACCUUAACCAUCCUCGAGAUUAUAACAAAAGUGAUAAUGUCCAUAUGGAGAUUCUUCUCAGAAAUGAGAAACCGCAGAUAAGCAAAAUGACUGUCCAGUGCUUCUCAGUUUGGACAUAAUCUAUGAGUUCAGAGUUCUUGCAGAUCCUGUGACGAACAGCAGUAAGCGCGAUGGUAGGCCCGACUCUCUCCAUUGCUCAUUCUGUCUCUGCUCUUUCCAUUAUCUUAUUUCUGUGAACAAUUGCUUAGCACUCGAACAGAAUAGCCCAGCGAUAAAACGCUGAGUGACGAUUGGGUGGCAGCCACCUCUGAGUGCGGUCCAGCCCUGUGCCAUUGGAGGCGAAUCUUCAGGUUGCUGGAUUUGAAACUUACACAAACACUCACCUUUCUCUUACCUCCUGGAAGCAGCAUCUUUGUUGAGGUGUGAAGAGCAAAUAUGGCUCAUUGGUUCUUGGUGUCACCUGCUACAGGGACUCACCAGUUCUGACCUCCAAAUUAGCCAGGGUGAACGCAGAUGCAGGAGAUGCCGUGUGAAUGCUGGGGAAGGCCAUGGAAAAACACAGGCCUGAGUAGCCGACAGGCCCCAGUCAGGGAAAGAAAAAGAAUGCUCCCAACAGAUCAAAGCCCACAGUCUCUUAAAAUGGAAAUGAACAUUUAAAAAAGGCCUUUCUCAAGGGAGAAAUAUGCAGUAAAUCAGAGCUUUUGAAAGACAACUGGGGCCUGUGCCGGUUUUUGAAUAACUCGUCGUUUAAUAAAUGUUCUAUUUUUGACCCUUUAGGGAAAUAUACAACUCCAUCUGAAACUUAUGAGCCAAAAUAAUUUAACUUUUUUUCCAUCUCAUUUUUAUAAGUUUUGUGAUGGAGACAAAUGAUCUGGAAGCUUUCUUUUUAAGGUUUUAUGAUGAAGCGAGGUCAUUUAACAAGAGAGAAAUGGUUUUCUCUGCACACCAGCUUUGACUCGGUGAGUGGCUAGUUAGUCCCAGCAUCCGAAGUCUCAGGAUCCACAAAGAGGAAGCUGUGCAUGGAGUUUUGAGGAAUUGUUCUUGGUUUUCUUUGUAAGGGCUUCAUGAAAAGCAUGUAAACAAGAGAAGAGUAGAUCAUCUCUUCUAAUGUGUGUGUAUGUGUGUGCGUGCAUGUACAUAGAACAUUUGAAACUCUACAUCGGUGACUGUACCUUGACUAUAUGAAACUAUAUGUCAUGCAUCCUCUGUACUGGUAAAAAGGAAGUACUUAAUAUAUGUUGGAAUUAAGUUGUUGGAUGUUUUCCACAUCUUUUCUAAUCCCUAGGAUCCUAGGCAAAAUCUCGGGAGCAGAUGUCCCUCAUUUACUCACAUUGCUCCGUCCCAUCCCUUUCUGCUGGGUCCUGAGAGCAGCCUUCUCCCUGGCACCCAGCUGGGAUUCCCACUAACCCAACUCAGGUUCAAGGGCUGAGGGAAUUCAGGAUCUGAGGGAUGGCUCAAAGACCACAUGGAGUUCAGUUUUGCAUGUUUUCUUUGAGUGCCAGCCAGCAAAGACCGUGGCCUCACAUAAUUUUUCUGCCGGGUGUGGAAUAGUGCCAUAGAAAGAUGAUUCAUGAGAAGAAAUUGUCAAGUUUCUGCCUGGAACUGAAUGGAAAAAAAUUGGUUGAAAAAAAUCCCAGACAUGCACACAGAAGAUACGUAGGACCAAAUUUAUAUCUUUAGCUUUGGGAAUCUACAUUCAUUAUUUCUCUCACUUGACUUGAAAAUGGGUAAAAAUCUGGCCACAGUGCUCUUGUUGGGUUAUAAAUAAGAUUUUUGUUUUUAUAUUAGCAUCUGGCCCAUAAUAGUCGCUAAUAUUUACUUUGUGUUGCUCAGUUUAUAAGGUGUUUUUUUCCUGUGUAUUUAAAUUGCAUAUUAGACCUGAAUAUAGGUAUUUUUCUUUUACAAUAAGAAAACUAAAUCUUUGUGAGAGCCACAUGGACAAUACCAGUGUAAGUAAUUUAAUCCAAGCCCUCUGCAUUCUUGCAACCUUUGUUUUAGCCACAAGGUGAUUCUAUUUGGUGAUUGCAUUCCAACACUAAUAAUACUGCCCUUACUCACAUACCAGCUACAAACAGGGUCCCCAGGCUACCCUCACUUCAGUCUGACUUGGCAACAAAUUUAGGGGUUCCCACAACUCCCUCUGGCUCAAGAAUUCAAUAGAAUGGCUUAGGAAACUCAAGUAAGCACUAUACUUACUGUUACCAUUUGGACAAACUGUGUGCCUAGGAUCCUAGGGAUUAGAAAAGAUGUGGAAAACAUCCAACAACUUAAUUCCAGGUAUGUUGCCUUCCCAGCACAUGGAUGCGUUCAUAACCCAGGAACUUCUUGGAGCCUCUCUGUUUCAGCGUUUUAUUAAGGUUCCAUUAUGCAGACAUGAUUUAUUUAAAUACCGGUCUUGGUGACUGAACCCAACCUCUCUAGUCCUUCUACCUUCCCCAGAGGUUCAGAGUGGGGCUGAAAUUCUAACUCUUUAAUCAUAUGGUUGGUUUAUCUGGGUCUUGGUGACUGAACCCAACCUCUAGUCCUUCUACCUUCCCCAGAGGUUCAGAGUGGGGCUGAAAUUCUAACUCUUUAAUCAUGUGGUUGGUUUAUCUGGGGACCAGCUCCCAUCCUAAAACUAUCUAAGAGCCCUGUAAUAAGUUACCUUAUUAGCAUAAACUCAGGUAUGGUAGAAAGAGGCUUGUUAUGAAUAACAAGACAGUUCUAUCAUUCAGCAAAGUCCAAGGGUUAUUGAAGCUGUGUGCCAGGAACUGGGGAUAAUGACCAGUUAUUUUCUGUAUAAUGUCUGUAGUAGGCAUUCCAACUAGGGCCAACAACAACACCUUCCCUUUCUGUAGGUGCAAGCUGUCCCCCACCUCAAGAGGUGGGUUUAUUUUUCCCUCCCUUGAAUGUGACUUGCUUUGACUAACAAAAGUGACAUUCUAAAACUUCUGAGCCCAAGCCUUUCAAGAACUGGCAGCUUCUAAUUUUUCUCUCUUGGAAUGCUCCCUUUUGGGAGUCAGCUGUCAUGCUUUUAGGAAAUUCAGGUUAGAUGUUUGGAAGAUGAGGAGCUGUAUUGAGAGAGAGCCUGAGGGAUGAAAGACCAUCUUGGAAGUUCCCCUCUCUGCCAAGCUCCCAGCUGAAUGCAGGCAGAUCAGUGAUGCGAAGUAUACCAUAUGGAGUAGAAGACCAUCCUAGCUGACCUAAGUCAACUUGCAGCAUUGUGAUAUGCCAUAAAUUACAGUUUUAAGCCAUUACGUUUAGGCUGGUUUGUUGCACAGCAGCAGAUAACUGAAACAUGGACCUAUUAAGAUCCUUCUGAAAGUUUAGUAUUUUGGCAACAAAAUCUCACAAAAUGUCCUUCCCAGACACACCUCAGUUAUGUAGGAUUCUAUUAUAUGCAGAAGAAUGUAAAAGUGAGGCUGAACAUAAAAAGCUUAGAGCAACAUAUCCUGUAUUAAAAAAUUACAAUAUUGGAUCUGAUUAAUUUUGAUUGUGUUUUCUCCAAUGUUUCUUUCACCUGUCUUCCUGUCACUCCUUUCCAGGUACUUUUCUGUGUCCUUCUGAUUCACUCACUUGGUGAACCUAGUACAAUAACUAACUAUAAGUUCAUGAAACUCCUUCCUAAACAUCUAUACAAGGACUUACUUUUCCAACUAGGUUUUGUUUCUCAUUAGAGACACCAUUUUCAUUACCUACAUUUUUUUGGAAUUCUGUACCCAAAGACCCAACAAUGCAGUGGUAUUUACAGAAAAAGGAAACUUACAUUCUUGUGACAAGUUUAAAAAAAGAACCUGGUUGGCAGGGUGGAUCUACUUCACGCUGUCAUCCAGGGACCCAGGUUUCUUGUAUUACCAGCAUAAGAAUUAGAGUAGCUGCCAUCUGCUAGGUCGAUGCUGGGUUCCUAUGGUUCCUGAGAGAUGGAAACAGUCAUGGAGAGCUCAUGUGCAAUAUUUUGUACCAAGGUCUGGAAAUGACUCAUAGCACUUCUAUUUUCUUGGCAUUCAAAAAUCUGAACAAUGGCAGCGGGAUCAUUGUAAUAAUCGCUUUGGCUAACAAGCGUAAUACUUUAAAGUAGUAAGAAGGCUAAUCCUUUAAAGGGACGAAUCUUUUGUUUUAUGCAUGUAUAAAGUCUGAGAUGUUUGUUUCAACCGUUCAUUAAAGCAUUUUUAGUCGUAGCUAAUAUUUUACCCCUUCGUGACUUCUAUCUUCUUCUAGGAGCCAAGCCUAAGAAGGCAUCAACUCAACAGCUUCAGGUCCCAAGGAGAUGUGGUAUAAUUGGCACACAGCAGUUCACAUUCUGCUUGCUAGCGACUUCAAAACACUCCUCAAAUAAGUAUGCAGAGCCAUUUCCUCCUAUUUUUGACUUCUCACAGCCCUAUUCCACCCUUGUAUUUUCACCAGUGUUAACUUGUGAGGAAAAACUAGCACCUCAUCUUCUUAUUUUGUGUGGCUUACAAAUUGCCACAUAUUAAAUGGACAUAUUUGAUUUAGUAGCAUACAUUUAAAUGUUUAAAAUAUGAGGAGUGUUCAGGGAAUGCCAUUUCACUUAGCAGUCAGUGCUAACAUCAUUUUUUGAAAUGCUCCCCAUUUCUACGAUGUAGCCAAAGCUUUAUUUAUCAUCAGAUUUGCAUUUUGUGAUGUAUUCUUGAGCCAGCCAAACUCAUCUAAAAGCAAGCUCAUUUAAUGCAAAGUAGAUUUAAAUGUGACUGCUUUAAAAUGGACCACCCUGUUUAAAUGAUCCUCCGGAUGUAAUUAGAAAAAACUCGAGUUCCUAGGAUAGGAAAAAAAAGGGUGAACUAAAUGAUUUCUCUCUCCCUGGGUAAUUUUUGACCACGCACCAAUAAAACUGCUGAUCAUGAAAUGAUUUAUUUUAAAUGUAACUUUCCCACAAACGGUUUAACAGGAGGUGGUUUAGAAAUGGUACACCACAUUUGAGCAGACAUCGAAAGUGUGUAACAAACCAUGAUGUUUAUAGCCUUCAGCGUCCCAGACUCUUCAGACAAGAGAGAAAGAGAGGGACAAAAAGAGAAAACAGAAAGAAAGACGAAAAGAAACAAAAAACAGUAGAGUUGUGAGACAAUCUAUACUCCAAUUUUGACUUAUAUUCAGAAGCAUCUUGUUAUCUCAUGGGGGAACUCAGGCUCUGUUAUCCUAACUCAAUUUCCAUACCAGUAGUAGUGAGUGAUGGUAAUGUUAUUUAGGAGCUAUUCACAUAAAAGCUUACCAUCCAAAGAGGAUCUGGUAGUAUUAGCAUGCUUGUCAAAGCUCCCAUCCUCUACACAAUGAAGAACCUCGAAACAGAGCUGCCUCUUCCCAAGCCCUGAUGAGGCCACGCUUGGUGCCAGCCAUUAAAAAUAAAAGCCCGUUAAACUUUCAGGACAUGCUUCCACAUUUUUGGGCACCGCCAAGUUUUCAAGAUUUGAGCCAGUUCAGUGAUAGUAUCAGCAGACCAGCAUCUCCUAGGCAAUGAAAGUAGUUACCAUGGAAACCCCAGAGCUGCACCCAUCAACAGCUUUACAAUUUUGACAGUUCAGAAAAAGUGAAUUUCAGGAAUAAUGUAAAAAGCACUUGGUAACGAAAAAAGAUGUUAAAGUUCUUUUAUCCCUUUUCCUUCCUUGGAAAGGAAAUAGGCACCAAGAAUAAAUAAGUUGUGAAAAAUGAUCAGCGGAUUUUUUUAACAGGGUAGUCACAAUAUGCCAUGCUUGUUAAGUCAGAACUUGUGCAUAUUAUUAAGAAAUAGUUAAAUAAAAUAUACACAAAGCCGAAAACUCAGAUCUAUAAUAAAAGAAACAGGUCCUGUUACUAGAGAUACACAAUGGUAAUAGCAAUAAUAUUAAUUUGCAAUGGUUAAUACUAAUAUUAAUACUAAUGCCAACUUCACUGCUAAGAAUAGCUGUGCUAGUUAUCUUGGUUUUUCUCCUCCAUCAGAUCCAAGCUCUAUGCCCCCCCAAAACUGAACCCAUGGACUGCUUCAUGUGGGCUCACUUGCCCUCUGCUUCUGGCUGAUUUGGCAAUGGAGACAUACAGAGGAGAUCAGAAGGUGGGAGGAGAGAAAGGUUGGUGUGUUCAUUCCUCCAAUCCCCACCUUGCCUCUUGCACAGCUCCAGCCUCAGGCUAGUUCUUGGUCCUUUCACCAUGCUUCAUUGAUUCCUGAAACCUGCUACCACCUGUGUAAAUAGUAUCAACAUGAUUAUUUCCUUGAUCCUCAUGACUCCCCUAUGGGUUGAGGGUAGGGAACUGUGAUACAAGACAGAAAAGUUAGGAGACAACUCAAGGGUGCUCAGCUAUGAAGCCAACCUCUGUGCCUCCUUGCUCUGUGGAUGUCCUCUUGCCCCGUUCUGAUACUUUCCUCUGGUUUUGUCCAAUUAGAGGUGUAGGAUUCCAUUCCAUGCCAUUGUUUUAAACUUCAGCUCUGGCUUUCUGUCAGGAGCCCUCACUUGGGGAACAGGAGAAAAAGGAUUUGCCUGGGUAGCAGUGCUGCUGCCGAUGGCAGAGAGAGGAGAUGGGGCUUCCUGGCUUCUUUUGGCUCCUGGGUCCUCUCCUGUGGCUGAGUGAAAGGAAUGCUCAAUCCUGGUCUUGGGGUUUUCUAGUGCCCUGUGAUGUUUUAAAACAAGGCAGUUAGAACCACUUUGGGGCAAGGGGAUGGCAGAAAGGGAAGUAGGAGGUACUAAUUAAAACCCUAAGGUUUUCUUGUUGUUCAUUUUGGUUAGAUGUUACCUUCUAGGGAAAGUGAAGGGGGCAGAGAAUGAGUCUCGUAAGGCAUGAAGUGUCCUGGGUCCAGCGCUCCACGUGGGUGGGCCUGGCCAUUUUCAUUAGUAAUAACAGACACGCUGUACAACCAUUCAGGAUCAGCUACCAUCCUGGGCACUGCAACAAGGAACUAACCAAACAAAUAAACUAACCAAUCCACAGACAAAAUUCCUGACCUGGAAGGACCAUGAAGGCAAAGAGGCAUCUAUCUCACUGGGCACUGAGACAAAGAAUUCAAACCAAACCAAACCAAACCAGACUAAACCAAACAAAAACCAAUGCACACAGACACACAGACACACAGACACACAUACACACACACACACACCCUAGCCUGGAAAGAUCCUAAAGGUAAAGAGAUAUCUCAUUCACUAUUCUUCCCCCAGAGCCUGGCCUGACACCUGUAACACAGAAAGAGUUUAAUAGAUAGUUGAUAAAUCAGUGGGUAAAUAAAUGAUUGAAUAUUCUAUUCACACUAUAGACAAACAUGAUAAGUGAUAAAGCAUCGAAGAGGAAGAACUUGAGACAGGGUUCUACUGCUCACUCCAGGGAGUCUCUGACUGCCUAGGAAUGACUGAUACUGGUCUAGGACUUGCUUCUGUGUCUGCAGGACUUCCUGGAGCCUGGAAGUGGGGCUUAGCUGGGAGGCUGAAAAGGUGGGAAAAGCUCAUUCAUAACCCUGUGUGCCUUUCUCCAAAUACCUUUGAGCUGCCAACCUGACCCAGCCAGGUCUGGAAAUGCCAUCCAAGAGCCAAGGCCUGGAGUCGGGGCCCGAAGAGCCCACAUGAUGCUCUUCCCACCUGUGGCUGAGCUGGUACCUAAAAUGCAAGUCAGAUACACUGAUGACUAGUAGAACACAAUAUGCUAGCCUUGGUCUUGGCCCUCAAAGCUGUUCAGCUCCUGUUAUCAGACUCUCCUGUGCAGUCCUCAUGUCUGUUCACCAGUGUGUUUUCCAGAAACAUUUGUCGUAUAGAAUGAUUGGUGAUGGCCUAGAUACGGUUUUGGAUGAAUUGAGAAACUAAAUGGAAUAACAGAAGGAGAAAAACAGGUAUAAAAGGGCUUGGGGUUGGUACUGAGGGGACAGGCGGGAGGGAAAGAAGGAAGAUUUGGGAAAGGGAUUGGGGCACAGAGAUAAGAGGUCGGGGUGUGGAAAUAAGGGAUUGGGGCGCAGAGAUAAGAGGUUGGGGCACGGAAAUAAGGGAUUGGGGCACAGAGAUAAGAGGUUGGGGCUGAUUUAAAAUUGGUGAGAUGUUCCUUGGGCUGGUCGGUCUGAGGACCUGAGGUCGUAGGUGGAUCUUUCUCACGGAGCAAAGAACAGGAGGACAGGGGAUUGAUCUCCCAAGGGAGGUCCCCCAAUCCAAGUCACAGCACCAAAUAUCAUGCGCGUCCAUGUGAAG
rnacentral:lncRNA from 1 species